rnacentral:misc_RNA from 1 species
GAUGAAGAACGUAGCGAAAUGCGAUAAGUAAUGUGAAUUGCAGAAUUCAGUGAAUCAUCGAAUCUUUGAACGCACAUUGCGCCCCCUGGUAUUCCGGGGGGCAUGCCUGUUCGAGCGUCAUUUCACCACUCAAGCCUCGCUUGGUAUUGGGCGACGCGGUCCGCCGCGUGCCUCAAAUCGACCGGCUGGGUCUUCUGUCCCCUAAGCGUUGUGGAAACUAUUCGCUAAAGGGUGUUCGGGAGGCUACGCCGUAAAACAACUCCAUUUCUAAGGUUGACCUCGGAUCAGGUAGGGAUACCCGCUGAACUUAAGCAUAUCAAUAAGCGGAGGA